UAACAAGGAUUCCCCUAGUAACUGCGAGUGAAGCGGGAAAAGCUCAAAUUUAAAAUCUGGCAGCCUAUGGUUGUCCGAGUUGUAAUCUGGAGAAGUGUUUUCCGUGCUGGACCGUGUACAAGUCUCUUGGAACAGAGCGUCAUAGAGGGUGAGAAUCCCGUCUUUGACACGGACUACCAGUGCUUUGUGAUGCGCUCUCAAAGAGUCGAGUUGUUUGGGAAUGCAGCUCAAAAUGGGUGGUGAAUUCCAUCUAAAGCUAAAUAUUGGCGAGAGACCGAUAGCGAACAAGUACCGUGAGGGAAAGAUGAAAAGCACUUUGGAAAGAGAGUUAAACAGUACGUGAAAUUGCUGAAAGGGAAACGCUUGAAGUCAGUCGCAUUGUUCGGAACUCAGCCUUGCGUUUGCUUGGUGCAUUUUCUGAAUGAUGGGCCAGCAUCAAUUUUGACUGUUGGAAAAAGGCUGGAGUAAUGUGGCACCUUCUGGGUGUGUUAUAGACUCUGGUUGCAUACAGCAGUUGGGAUUGAGGACCGCAGCACGCCGCAAGGCAGGGGUGAGUAAUUGCCCACUUUCGUGCUUAGGAUGCUGGCAUAAUGGCUUUAAACGAC
rnacentral:rRNA from 1 species